UAUAAUAUAAGAGAGAAUGAGGGGCAUUUGGGAGACGUUAGUUAAGUAGCUUGGUUGGCAGUUUGAGGGUAGGGCCACAUACUCAGGAAAGGACCAAAAUGUAUCGACAAGCUCGUGGUGGGGGCCCAUAACACCGCCAGCUUCCAUUUUAAGGGUCCCAUUCUCAACGUGUUCAUCUUACUCUCCUCCUCUCGUUAACCCACUAAUACUAUAACUUGUGUAUAACGAAAAAUAUUAGUAGUAAUGAAUAUUCUUAUGAUGUUGAUGUUGAUUAAGAAUAAAAGUAUAUUUGAAACCGUUGUGCCAGUAUUGGGUUGGACUGUUCCAGUGCAUACAGAUAAUAAGUCGACCUUCAUGAAACGACGACGUCAACUACUACGUUUAAGGUACUACCUUAUCUUAAUUCACCUUCCUUCUCUUCUCCUCUACUGGACCCAGUCACAAUAAUCUUAAAAUCUCCAUUAAUAAGAAUGUGAAUAUUAUAAAGCAAAAU
rnacentral:lncRNA from 1 species